CAAUUAGUCCAACCCCAGCUGCUAAGCAGUGCAUAUAGGAAAAAAAUUACGGAUCCCACGGAUCCAAUGUAAGAAGAAUGUUACAAAAAGUGUAGUAUGCCGAAAAUUAAAAUACAGGUGUAGGCUUUACCAGUAAACAAAUCUAGAGAGGGGAGAACUCGAGCGGCACGAGGUGGGGAGAGAGAGAGACUGACUAAUUGUAAGUGUAAGCGGCUCACGGUGAGCCAGUUGUUACUUACCUUCCGAGCAGAGCACUGGUAAACACGUGUGUUUGACUAUUACUAUAUCAUUCAAUUGGUAUUGUUUACAUCUAGUAUACUUAUAAUUUGUUUACGUAUUUAUUAUUUAGAGGCAAUAGAGACACGAUCAUCUGUUCGUCGAGAUGCCGAGCUCGUUGCAGCGUACCUUGAAUCACUGUAAGAAUUUGAGAACAAAAUGAACCUUUUCAUUGUUUUUCAUCCAGAAAAACGAAUAUUUAUUAAUUAUAAAUAAUUUAUUUACAAAAAUGUUAUAUUUUAUAAAUAUUACACUUAAUUAAAUAAAAAAUAAAAAAAUAGACCCAAACAAUAUUUCUUUCUAUGCGAAAAUGACCUAAAUACGAUAAAAAAGAAGGAUCAAAAAAGGCUCAAUUUACUGAUUUUUAUUUUUCAAAAAAAAAA